GGACGAAAGUCUGACCCAGCGACGCCGCGUGNGGGAUGAAGGCCUUCGGGUUGUAAACCUCUUUCAGCAGGGAAGAAGCGAAAGUGACGGUACCUNCAAAAGAAGCACCGGCUAACUAUGUNCCAGCAGCCGCGGUAAUACAUAGGGUGCAAGCGUUGUCCGGAAUUAUUGGGCGUAAAGAGCUCGUAGGUNGUUAAUUACGUCGGGUGUGAAAAUCUGGGGCUCAACCCCAGACCUGCACUCGAUACGGGUUAGCUAGAGUUUGGUAGGGGAGACUGGAAUUCCUGGUGUAGCGGUGGAAUGCGCAGAUAUCAGGAGGAACACCAAUGGCGAAGGCAGGUCUCUGGGCCAAUACUGACACUGAGGAGCGAAAGCGCGGGGAGCGAACAGGAUUAGAUACCCUGGUAGUCCGCGCCGUAAACGGUGGGCGCUAGUUGUGGGAACCUUCCACGGUUUCUGCGACG
rnacentral:rRNA from 1 species